AAAAAAGCGAUGAUUGGCCUUAAGUAGUUAAUAAAUAGGUAGAUUAAAGAGACUUAGUGGUUGGUGUAAACUAAGACCAUUUAUUAAUGAAAUACAACCAGGAGCUAUUGCUAAUUUAGCAACGGUUAGAUACCGAUAUCAAAACGAGUGCACAUUCAUUUUGUGAACUAAGGUGGUACCGCGUAACCAUUACGUCCUUAGA
rnacentral:ncRNA from 1 species